rnacentral:tRNA from 1 species
CGGAGUGGAGCAGUUGGCGUCUCGUCGUGCUCAUAACCCGAAGAUCGUAAGUUCGAUUCCUACCUCCUCAACCA